GUAGCUCAGUGGUAGAGCACUUGCCUCGUAAGUAUGAAGCACUGGGUUCGAUGCUCAGC
rnacentral:tRNA from 1 species